AUGGGAUCAUACUCAAUUUUGCGUCCCCCCGGCCUCAACUUCCCGUCGCCCGUCUGCCGGGCGAUGAGGCAACCCAAGUCCAAGGUUCUCGCUACCGCCGCCCCGCCUGGUUUCUCUUCCGCCGGCCCGCCUGGGUUCUCUACCGCGCCCCUCCACGGCAGCCGCGGCCAGGACUUGGUCGGCGGCCUCGGAGGCGACAAGGAUAACGUCGACCAAGUGUCCCACGGCGAUGUUGCAAUAGGACCUGAUUUGGCUUCUGUGGACUUGUCUGCUGGGGAUCUCCCAACGCCCUCUGACCAGCUGUUGUUGCCAGCCCAGCCUAGCUGCAACAUAAAUAAUGCGGUGGCCGUUGUCUCCAAGGUUGCCACUUCUACAAGUCAUAACAGCCAAGCUUCCGAGCAGACCGCGAGCAAAGGCAAAGGACAAUCUGACGCUGCUGUUGUCACUUCGAAAGCCACUCAAGAAGUUAUUACUGUGGAGGAUGCUGAAGAGCGUGUUCAAAUGCACAUUGAUCCACCUGGUCUAAGGCGAAAUCCAGUGGAGAUGGACACCUAUCAUGAGAUGGUACCAAAAUUUCCGGAAAUUCAGUCGGAUGCAAGUGUCCAAGCACCGACCGAUAUUGUACAGCCCAGUCCGAGUGCAUUGGCGGUUACGGCGCCCCGACCUGCAAAGCCUCCCACUGUUCCAUAUGUAGUGUAUCCGUUGGCCAGUACUCGAGAGGAUGAGGUUAGUGCCAGCAAAGAGGCCAUGAUUUCAGCCGAGCUGGUGAGCUCCAAGCAGAAGGAUGCAACCAAUUCAAGUGAGGUUCUGAAAGCUCAUAACCCAAAAUCCUGUGAACUGGAAUCCAAGCAUCUAGCAUUGCAGGCAGAAGUCAAAAGUCUCCGUGCAAAACUGGAGAAAGAGAAAAGGAAGAACGAGAAGCUGGAGAAGGAGAAAGCUAUCAUGGGAGGUAAACUUGCCAUCCCAGGCAGCACCAUGCCGUGCCACAAUAACCAAGGUGAGUGCACAAUCUUCUCAUCACGAUGGCUUGAUCAACUUCUUUCAAAUGGACAAGCUUUCAAAAUACCUCCUCAAAGCGCCAAAACAAAUACUCCCAGAAGAGCAAAGGCGGACAAGCAAAUACCUCCUUUCAAGAUCACCUCCCUCCCCCCAAAAAAAUCAAAUCAUAGUACAUAUAACUUGAGGGACAAAACAAGUAAAGGGAUGCUUGAUGAUGAAAUUUUCGAAUUGUACAUGGAGGAUCUUUGGACGGGGUUAGAUCCGGAAAAGAAGAGUGACUAUGCUUACCUUGAUUCGUUGUGGGGACAUUGGAGCCUCCUUGUGUUGUGUAAUUUUGGUGACACAAACUACUUGGGUACUCCAAAGGGGCCACGCAUGCUACUGUUGGAUUCACUUAGAACAACACAACCAAAGAGGUUGCCGUCGGUCAUCAACAGCUUCAUUACUGAUAUUUUAAAAACAGAAGAGCGGGAAGACAUAGGGCAGUUCACAAAUCAAGUCCAUCUUGAGUUUCCUGAGGUUCCCCGGCAAAGUGGAAGUGAUUGUGGUAUAUAUGUUCUUUACUUUAUAUACUGUUUCCUCAAAAUCAAGAAACUGGGAGAAGAUUUGAGCCAGCUGGGUGCCUUGUUCGACCCAGAGGUACUACAGAACCUGGAGGACAUCCGCAAGGCUAUUCUUUUGUACCAAGAGAAACAGCAUGGCACAAUUACAGAGUAA
rnacentral:rRNA from 1 species